rnacentral:rRNA from 1 species
GAACCUCCUUCGGGAGGGGAUUAGUGGCGAACGGGUGAGUAACACGUGGGCAAUCUGCCCUGCACUCUGGGACAAGCCCUGGAAACGGGGUCUAAUACCGGAUACUGAUCAUCUUGGGCAUCCUUGGUGAUCGAAAGCUCCGGCGGUGCAGGAUGAGCCCGCGGCCUAUCAGCUUGUUGGUGAGGUAACGGCUCACCAAGGCGACGACGGGUAGCCGGCCUGAGAGGGCGACCGGCCACACUGGGACUGAGACACGGCCCAGACUCCUACGGGAGGCAGCAGUGGGGAAUAUUGCACAAUGGGCGCAAGCCUGAUGCAGCGACGCCGCGUGAGGGAUGACGGCCUUCGGGUUGUAAACCUCUUUCAGCAGGGAAGAAGCGCAAGUGACGGUACCUGCAGAAGAAGCGCCGGCUAACUACGUGCCAGCAGCCGCGGUAAUACGUAGGGCGCGAGCGUUGUCCGGAAUUAUUGGGCGUAAAGAGCUCGUAGGCGGCUUGUCGCGUCGGUUGUGAAAGCCCGGGGCUUAACCCCGGGUCUGCAGUCGAUACGGGCAGGCUAGAGUUCGGUAGGGGAGAUCGGAAUUCCUGGUGUAGCGGUGAAAUGCGCAGAUAUCAGGAGGAACACCGGUGGCGAAGGCGGAUCUCUGGGCCGAUACUGACGCUGAGGAGCGAAAGCGUGGGGAGCGAACAGGAUUAGAUACCCUGGUAGUCCACGCCGUAAACGGUGGGCACUAGGUGUGGCGACAUUCCACGUCGUCCGUGCCGCAGCUAACGCAUUAAGUGCCCCGCCUGGGG